rnacentral:snRNA from 2 species
AGCUUUGCACAGUGGUAAUAUCAUAGCCCAUGAGGUUUAUCUGAGGCGCGAUUAUUGCUAAUUAAAAGCUUCCCCACAAUAAU